GCUGCAGUUGUCAUGGAGGUGAGUAUGGCUUUAAUUAGAUCCAGCCACACUAUCUUGCGACAUGGAACGAUCGCGCAUGUCAUCCAGGCGUCUAUCGCUGCCUGGGAGACGUGACACAAUUGGGAUUCAUGGGUCACGGUCUGCCUUCUGCAUUCACGCAUGUGCGUGGUCAGCCACGACCUGUGUAUCUCCAUCGGAGCAGCGGAGGCAGUGGAGGUAAUUCGUAACAGUGUGUCUGUAACAAGACCAAAUAUUCAAGGGUAUGUAAACUUUUGAUCUUGACCAUUUGAGUGAUUUCU